rnacentral:rRNA from 1 species
UGCUGCUUCGCUGACAAGUGGCGCAUGGGUGAGUAAUGUCUGGGGAUCUGCCCGAUGGAGGGGGAUAACCACUGGAAACGGUGGCUAAUACCGCAUAACGUCGCAAGACCAAAGUGGGGGACCUUCGGGCCUCACACCAUCGGAUGAACCCAGAUGGGAUUAGCUAGUAGGUGGGGUAACGGCUCACCUAGGCGACGAUCCCUAGCUGGUCUGAGAGGAUGACCAGCCACACUGGAACUGAGACACGGUCCAGACUCCUACGGGAGGCAGCAGUAGGGAAUCUUCCGCAAUGGGCGAAAGCCUGACGGAGCAACGCCGCGUGAGUGAUGAAGGUCUUAGGAUCGUAAAACUCUGUUAUUAGGGAAGAACAAACGUGUAAGUAACUGUGCACGUCUUGACGGUACCUAAUCAGAAAGCCACGGCUAACUACGUGCCAGCAGCCGCGGUAAUACGUAGGUGGCAAGCGUUAUCCGGAAUUAUUGGGCGUAAAGCGCGCGUAGGCGGUUUUUUAAGUCUGAUGUGAAAGCCCACGGCUCAACCGUGGAGGGUCAUUGGAAACUGGAAAACUUGAGUGCAGAAGAGGAAAGUGGAAUUCCAUGUGUAGCGGUGAAAUGCGCAGAGAUAUGGAGGAACACCAGUGGCGAAGGCGACUUUCUGGUCUGUAACUGACGCUGAUGUGCGAAAGCGUGGGGAUCAAACA